rnacentral:sRNA from 1 species
GCCAGGUGCAAUGGCACACACCUGUAAUCCCAGAGACUCUGGAGGCUGAGGCAGGAGGAUCACAAGUUUGAGGCCAGCCUUGGCAAUUUAGAAAGACCCUGCCUCAA